rnacentral:rRNA from 1 species
GUUGAACGCUGGCGGCGUGCCUAACACAUGCAAGUCGAGCGACAACACGAGGGCUUUGCCCUUCUGACGUUAGGCGCGGGCGGGUGAGUUACAUGUGAAUAACUUCUCUAUAGGGGUGGAAUCCGUCGGGGAACGCUGAACUACCACAGGAUAUCUACGUGAAACAGCGGGUUCCUUAGUGAACGCGCGCUUUGCUGUUACUUAUUGGUGGAUCCACGCGUGAUUGGCUAGUUGGUAGGGUAACGGCUUACCAAGGCAACGAUGCGUAGCUGACCUGAGAGGAUGAUCAGCCACACUGGAACUGAGACACGGUCCAGACUCCUACGGGAGGCAGCAGUGGGGAAUCUUGGACAAUGGGCGAAAGCCUGACGGAGCAACGCCGCGUGAGUGAAGAAGGUCUUCGGAUUGUAAAGCUCUGUUAUUAGGGAAGAACAACUUUGUAAGAAACCAUGCGCGUCUUGACGGUACCGAAAGAAAAAGCAACGGCUAACUACGUG